rfam:Veillonella montpellierensis DNF00314 contig18, whole genome shotgun sequence.
AGAACCUUUUAAGUUAGUCCUGCGAGGCUAAUAAAGGUAGAUAGUUGCAAGUCGUUCCGUGGUUACGGGUACUUUGUCAUGUUUACUAUACGACCUUUUGCCCCAGGCAAAGGGUCGUUUUUUU